rnacentral:rRNA from 1 species
CCGUUAAUGCCUUAGUACGGCGAGUGAGCGGCACAGCUCAAAUUUGAAAGCUGGCUCCUUUGGAGUCCGCGUUGUAAUUUGUAGAGGAUGAUUCGGCAAGGGCUCCCGCCUAAGUCUCCUGGAACGGAGCGUCAUAGAGGGUGAGAAUCCCGUAUGCGGUGGGCUGCCUAAGCCAUGUGAAUCUCCUUCGACGAGUCGAGUUGUUUGGGAAUGCAGCUCUAAAUGGGAGGUAAAUUUCUUCUAAAGCUAAAUACCGGCCAGAGACCGAUAGCGCACAAGUAGAGUGAUCGAAAGAUGAAAAGCACUUUGGAAAGAGAGUUAAAAAGUACGUGAAAUUGUUGAAAGGGAAGCGCUUGCAGCCAGACUUGUCCGCAGUUGCUCAGCCGGUCUCCUGACCGGUGUACUCUUCUGCGGCCAGGCCAGCAUCAGUUCGGGCGGUCGGAUAAAGACCUCGGGAAUGUAGCUCCUCUCGGGGAGUGUUAUAGCCCGGGGUGGAAUGCGGCCAGCCUGGACUGAGGAUCUCGCUUCGGCUAGGAUGCUGGCGUAAUGGCUGUAAGCGGCCCGUCUUGAAACACGGACCA